AUGCCAAGAAAAAAUAUUGCCGAAAAGUUUCUCAAAAAAAAAAAAAGAGAAAGAAAAAAACCACUCGAAAUUCAGCAGAAUCAAACCGAAACGACAUCAACAGAGUUGACCUCGUUUCUCGAGCUUUUUUAUUUUUUGCUUUGCUGAUUUGGUUAAACAUGAAAAAUGGUGCCACUCAAUUGACACACAUCCAAUUCUCCAAUACAUCCAAUAUUCCAGCCACACACGCGUCGAACAGCUUUUUAUUGGCAUCAUCACAUUACAGCAACUGGCCUUUUUAAUGCGGCUUUUGAUUAUGGCAUCGAGGAAUCUGUGCAUUGCCAUAAAAGCAUAAAAUCAUAAAAUCAUUUACAUGUAAGUCCUUUCCCCUCCUCAUUGGGCAAAUUUUAGCCCCAAACCAAUUAACAAUGAAAACAAGUUAAUGUAAAAUGAGGAAAUCAACUUUGAACAAUGCGACGACAGUUGGAAUACCCUAAAGGUGCUUAUAUAGAAAGCGGGAAGAAGA